GUCUACAAUGAUACCUCCCUGAAGGUGCCCAAUCCUAUCUGAUCUUGGAAGCUAAGCAGAGUCAGUCCUGGUUAGUACUUGGAUGGGAGAGUAAUAAAUCCUAAGAGGCUAUUUACACC
rnacentral:rRNA from 1 species